UAAUUAUUACAACGCUUUGGUGCAGUUACAUAAUAAAGAUGGCGAAAAGUAAAACUGAAAAUAUUACAAGUUAAAACUUAAAAUAUUACAAGGGCGAAGCAGUUACAGUGUAUGAAUAACAUAAAUAUGAGCGAAAAUAGGAAAUAAUAAUAAGGUUUGUUAAGGUUUAAGAAAAUGUUUAUGGUUUAGAGGAAACAACACGGUUAAAGUUUUAGGUUUGAAAUUUAGAGUUUGUGGCGAAAUUGUCAGGGUUUAGGAAAAAUC
rnacentral:lncRNA from 1 species